UCCUGAGCCUAGUCCCUUUGUGAGAUUUGUCCCCAUUUCUUGGACACCAUAUGAGAGACUUCAGUGGCUGAAGUGGGAGGAUUGCUUGAGCCUGGGAGGUUGAGGAUGAAGUGUGCUGUGGUCAUACCACUGCACUCUAGCCUGGACAACAGAGCGAGACCCUGUCUUAAAAACAGCUACCACCAAAAACUAUCUUGGAAUUUGAAUAGGAUUACCUUAAAUUUGUAGAUUAAUUUGAGAAUUGACAUCUGUACAACAUUCUGGGAACAUGGUAUUUCACGUCAUUUAUUCAUUUCUUGUUAAUGUCUUUCAGAAGAGUUUUAGGGUUUCCAUCAUACAGAUCUUACACGUCUUUUGUUACAUAACAGAUCUUUGUAUUUUUCUUCCUAAAUACUUCAUACAUUUGUAUUGCCAUUGUAAAUGGGACUUAUUUCCAUUUUCUAAUUAGUUAUUGGUGGUACAUCUGACAAGUAUUUGACUUCUGUGUGCUGUUCUCUUGAAUUUGUUUCUAGUCACUGUACUGAAUUCUCAUAUUACUUCCAGUAAAAUCUUAGUUGAUUCCCUUAGGCUUCUUUUGCUAACAUUUAUUGUUUUAUAUGCAAAUAAUGAUAGUUUUGCCUCUUCCUUUUAAAUACUUACACUCUUUCCUUCCUUUCCUUUCUCUUUUUUUCUUUCUCAGGGCCUUGUUGUCACCCAGACUGGAGGGCAAUGGUGUAAUCUAGCUAACUGUAACCUCAAACUCCUGGGCUUAGGGGAUCCUCCUGCCUCAGCUUCCAGAGUGGCUGGGACUACAGGCAGGCAGUGAAAUUUUAAAACUUUUUUUGUAGACACAAGGUCUCGCUAUGUUGCCCAGGCUGGUUUUCCUGCCACUUUAGAGCAGGUUUUCUUUUUUUCAUACUUUUAAGAGUUUUUUAUUAGGAAUUGUCCAUUGAAUGUUAGCUAAAACAGUCAAUAAAAUGCAUUAAGUGUCAGCUGCAUGCAAGACCCUAAGUUAGAUACAGUUAGCCCUCUUCAUCAGCAGGUCCACAUCUUCAGAUUCAACUGGAUAAGGUGAAUAUUUGAAAAAAGAAACAAUAAAAAUACAAAUAGAAAGUACAGUAUAACAACUGUUACCAUUGUACAAUAGCUAUACGUUUUAUUAGUGAUGACCUAAAGUACGUGGGACCAGGCAUGUUGACUGACACUUGUAGUCCCAACACUUUGGGAGGCCAACCUGGGCAGCAUAGUGAGACCUUGUCUUUAAUAAAAAUAAAAAAAAUAGCCAGGUGUGGUGGUAGGCACCUGUAGUGCCAGCUACCCAAGAGACUGAGGUGGGAGGAUCAUUGGAGCCCAGGAGGUUGAGGCUGCAGUGAGCUGUGAUUGUGACACUGCACUCCAGCCUAAGUGACAGAGGACGAUCCUGUCUCCAAGUAAGUAAAUAAGUAAAGUAUAUGGGGGGAUGUAUGUUGGUUAUAUGCAAAUACUGCACCAUUAUAUGUAAGGGAUUGAGCAUCCACAGAUUCUGGUAUGGUGUGGGGGCGGUAUCCUAGAACCAGUCCCCUGCAAGAUAGCAAGGAUGACUGAACUGUGGAAGAAUCAAAGCUCUGUUGAACAGCAUACAAUUCCUGUCUUCAAAAAUCUUAUCUCACCAGGUAGAUGAGACUUAAAAUGAAUAAAAGGAAUGAAUACAGAUUUGGAGAUAGUGGUUGUUGUGAUGGAUAAUCUUAAUUGUGUUUUCUUCCAAAACAGAUUCAUUCCCACAAAAGGGCAUCAGAGGAGAAUAAAGAAGACUCAUCAGUGUCAGGCCCCUGAGCCCAAGUUAAGGCAUCCAGAUGGCCUGGAGCCAUGUUUUUUAAAUUUUAUUAUUAAGUAUUGUUCUUUACUU